AUUGAACGCUGGCGGCAGGCCUAACACAUGCAAGUCGAACGAGUGGCGGACGGGUGAGUAAUGUCUGGGACACUGCCCGAUGGAGGGGGAUAACUACUGGAAACGGUAGCUAAUACCGCAUACCAUCGGAUGUGCCCAGAUGGGAUUAGCUAGUAGGGGGGGGAACGGCGCACCUAGGCGCCGCUCCAUAGCUGGGCUGAGAGGGUGACCAGCCACACUGGGACUGAGACACGGUCCAGACUCCCACGGGAGGCAGCAGUGGGGAAUUUUUCACAAUGGGCGCAAGCCUGAUGCAGCCAUGCCGCGUGUAUGAAGAAGGCCUUCGGGUUGUAAAGUACUUUUAGCGGGGAGGCGUUACUCGCAGAAGAAGCACCGGCUAACUCCGUGCCAGCAGCCGCGGUAAUUC
rnacentral:rRNA from 1 species